AGUGAACGCUGGCGGUAGGCCUAACACAUGCAAGUCGAACGGCAGCACAGUAAGAGCUUGCUCUUACGGGUGGAGAGUGGCGGACGGGUGAGGAAUACAUCGGAAUCUACUUUUUCGUGGGGGAUAACGUAGGGAAACUUACGCUAAUAUCGCAUACGACCUACGGGUGAAAUCAGGGGAUCUUCGGACCUUGCGCGAUUGAAUGAGCCGAUGUCGGAUUAGCUAGUUGGCGGGGUAAAGGCCCACCAAGGCGACGAUCCGUAGCUGGUCUGAGAGGAGGAUCGGCCACACUGGAACUGAGACACGGUCCAGACUCCUACGGGAGGCAGCAGUGGGGAAUAUUGGACAAUGGGCGCAAGCCUGAUCCAGCCAUACCGCGUGGGUGAAGAAGGCCUUCGGGUUGUAAAGCCCUUUUGUUGGGAAAGAAAAGCAGCAGGUUAAUACCCCGCUGUUCUGACGGUACCCAAAGAAUAAGCACCGGCUAACUUCGUG
rnacentral:rRNA from 1 species